rnacentral:rRNA from 1 species
AACGAACGCUGGCGGCAUGCCUAACACAUGCAAGUCGAACGAGACCUUCGGGUCUAGUGGCGCACGGGUGCGUAACGCGUGGGAACCUGCCCUUAGGUUCGGAAUAACUCCCCGAAAGGGGUGCUAAUACCGGAUAAUGUCUUCGGACCAAAGAUUUAUCGCCUUUGGAUGGGCCCGCGUUGGAUUAGCUAGUUGGUAGGGUAAAAGCCUACCAAGGCGACGAUCCAUAGCUGGUCUGAGAGGAUGAUCAGCCACACUGGGACUGAGACACGGCCCAGACUCCUACGGGAGGCAGCAGUGGGGAAUAUUGGACGAUGGGCGAAGGCCUGAUCCAGCAAUGCCGCGUGAGUGAUGAAGGCCUUAGGGUUGUAAAGCUCUUUUACCCGGGAUGAUAAUGACAGUACCGGGAGAAUAAGCUCCGGCUAACUCCGUG